AAGUAAAUGAAAAGUAUUUUAAUCAGGCACACAGAGGGCACCUCACAUGUAGGGUCCUACUGAAAGGGCCUUAGAGCGAGGACACCGAAGCGGGAAGAUCAAAGAGUGAUGUUGCCACUGGUAAUAGAAAGGACACAAUCAGCUCUACAAAAGGCUUGUCAUAGAAGGCUCAGAACAGCUGGAUCCCGACCAGCCCAGGCCUCCAGGUAGUGGACCUGCUCGUGGACCUGCUCAUGGACCAGCAGACAUGUCCCAGUCACGAGCAGAUGGACCAAAACAGCCAUAUCUAAAGGUUUACCCUCGGACCAUGUACAACGACAGGAGACAGGGCUUCAACUACAAGUGGUUCUCCAUUCAUAAGUGGUUGGAGUAUAAUAAUUUCCAUGUUUACUGCUUAUUGGUCACACAGAUCCCUGAGUGAGUGAAUUUUUGCCCUCCCUUUGCCAUUUUGCCCCUGUAAUUUUGUCUUUGGUCACAAAUAUCGAUGAAAUAAACACAUUAGAAUGUAAAUAAAUGCAAAUUGAUAAUAAAUGUACAAUCUAAUGGAGAGAAGAGUCAGUGUGCUGAUGUUCAUUUAGGUUGUUUGAGCAGUUCAAUGCUGUAGUUGCCAUAUACACUGAGAGGAACAAGUCUGUUCAGAUAUGCCCCAAAUGUCCCUCCCAAUAUGCCAUUAUGGGAUAAUAUAAUAUUAUUAUAUUACCCUGUAUGGCAUGCCCCCAGACCCUCUAGCUGAAUUUUGUCCCCCACCCACACAACCAAGGCUGUAAUAAAUGAAAAUAGCCUUCCCUAUAUAAUGGCAGAUAAUUUCAUUUAGUCUUUUUCUAGGAACACUUCUGAUCAGGAGUUCUUAUGUGCCAUAAACUCAAACUGACCCACUUCAUGUUUUUGUUCAGUAGACUACAUGGACUUGUGUAGUUAUGCAUCAUAGACUUAAUAACCUUUGGCCACCCCGCUAUUUUCUCUGGCCACCAUAUGGCCACCCCUAAAAAAAUCUCUGUGGGCAUCCCUGCUCUUAAGAGAUAUGUAUUGCUUUCUUUUU